rnacentral:misc_RNA from 1 species
UUUCCGUAGGUGAACCUGCGGAAGGAUCAUUAACACUAUUAAUUAGUAUCCAAAACCUUUUGGAUCAACCAACAACUUAUACGAACCCAUUUGUUAUUCUUUUCCCUUGCUUUUUUUCUAUAACUACAACUUUUGAUAAUCUUUGUGUCUGAUUCAUUUUUUUCUCUCCCGAAAAGGAAGGAAAAAACAAAAAUCUAAACGCAAUACAACUCUUAACAACGGAUAUCUUGGCUCUC